rnacentral:rRNA from 1 species
AUUGAACGCUGGCGGCAUGCCUUACACAUGCAAGUCGAACGGUAACAGGUCUUCGGAUGCUGACGAGUGGCGAACGGGUGAGUAAUACAUCGGAACGUGCCCAGUAAUGGGGGAUAGCCCGGCGAAAGCCGGAUUAAUACCGCAUACGCCCUGAGGGGGAAAGUGGGGGACCGCAAGGCCGAACGGUAUUGGAGCGGCCGAUGGCUGAUUAGCUAGUUGGUGAGGUAAAGGCUCACCAAGGCGACGAUCAGUAGCUGGUCUGAGAGGACGAUCAGCCACACUGGGACUGAGACACGGCCCAGACUCCUACGGGAGGCAGCAGUGGGGAAUUUUGGACAAUGGGGGAAACCCUGAUCCAGCAAUGCCGCGUGUGCGAAGAAGGCCUUCGGGUUGUAAAGCACUUUUGUCAGGGAAGAAAUCCUUUGGGCUAAUACCCUAGGGGGAUGACGGUACCUGAAGAAUAAGCACCGGCUAACUACGUGCCAGCCGCCGCUGUAAUAC